UCAGGAACCAGGGACUGACUGUGAUCAGACCAAGGGCGGAGCAGACCUCAGCACUGCCAGCUUGAGCUUCACUGGGAACAAAGCAAGCAGGCGUGGGUGUUUCCAAGAAAGAAGGCUUCCAGCUGGGCAGCAUGGUUAGCCUGGUGUACAAGGCCCAGACGAACAGCAGUUUCUUUUCUCUUCCUCCUGGGUUCUCUGAGACUCCCUCUGAUGGUGUUACAGAAGGAAAUAAAAGCAGAUCUGCAGAUUCUGUGUUCGUGAAUUUGCCUACUCGCUGAAAUUCAUCUACAGCCCUAAGAUCAAUACUGGAUGUACAUUUGCAGUCCUUCACGGGCACAGACACUUGGAGAACGUCGGUCUCACCGGCGGACAGGUAGACGUUUUCCCCAUCUCUUUAGGGCAUGAUCUUGCCUUGGGGCGUCUUACUGGGA